UACGAGGGAUGCAAGCGUUAUCCGGAAUCACUGGGCGUAAAGCGUCUGCAGGUUGCUAAGCAAGUCUGUGGUUAAAUUUUAAAGCUUAACUUUGAGAAAGCUGUUGAAACUACUUAGCUAGGGUAUUUAUAGGGGUAAGGGGAACUUCUGGUGUAGCGGUGAAAUGCGUAGAGAUUAGAAGGACCACCUGUGGCGAAGGCACCUUACUGGCUGAUUACCGACACUCAUAGACGAAAGCUAGGGGAGCGAAAGGG
rnacentral:rRNA from 1 species